rnacentral:rRNA from 1 species
GCCAGACUCCUACGGGAGGCAGCAGUGGGGAAUAUUGCACAAUGGGGGAAACCCUGAUGCAGCGACGCCGCGUGAGCGAAGAAGUAUUUCGGUAUGUAAAGCUCUAUCAGCAGGGAAGAAAAAAUGACGGUACCUGACUAAGAAGCACCGGCUAAAUACGUGCCAGCAGCCGCGGUAAUACGUAUGGUGCAAGCGUUAUCCGGAUUUACUGGGUGUAAAGGGAGCGCAGGCGGUACGGCAAGUCUGAUGUGAAAGCCCGGGGCUCAACCCCGGUACUGCAUUGGAAACUGUCGGACUAGAGUGUCGGAGGGGUAAGUGGAAUUCCUAGUGUAGCGGUGAAAUGCGUAGAUAUUAGGAGGAACACCAGUGGCGAAGGCGGCUUACUGGACGAUUACUGACGCUGAGGCUCGAAAGCGUGGGGAGCGAACAGGAUUAGAUACCCGCGUAAA